GACAGCGUGGCGGAGUGGUUAACGCGUGGCACUGCUAAUGCUAUGUCCUUUGGACGCGCAGGUUCGAAUCCUGCCGCUGUCG